rnacentral:rRNA from 1 species
AGUGAACGCUGGCGGUAGGCCUAACACAUGCAAGUCGAACGGCAGCACAGUAAGAGCUUGCUCUUACGGGUGGCGAGUGGCGGACGGGUGAGGAAUACAUCGGAAUCUACUUUUUCGUGGGGGAUAACGUAGGGAAACUUACGCUAAUACCGCAUACGACCUACGGGUGAAAGCAGGGGAUCUUCGGACCUUGCGCGAUUGAAUGAGCCGAUGUCGGAUUAGCUAGUUGGCGGGGUAAAGGCCCACCAAGGCGACGAUCCGUAGCUGGUCUGAGAGGAUGAUCAGCCACACUGGAACUGAGACACGGUCCAGACUCCUACGGGAGGCAGCAGUGGGGAAUAUUGGACAAUGGGCGCAAGCCUGAUCCAGCCAUACCGCGUGGGUGACGAAGGCCUUCGGGUUGUAAAGCCCUUUUGUUGGGAAAGAAAAGCAGCAGGUUAAUACCCAGCUGUUCUGACGGUACCCAAAGAAUAAGCACCGGCUAACUUCGUG